rnacentral:rRNA from 1 species
UACGUAGGGGGCAAGCGUUGUCCGGAUUUAUUGGGCGUAAAGAGCGUGUAGGCGGCCAGAUAGGUCAGCUGUGAAAACUCGAGGCUCAACCUCGAGACGCCGGUUGAAACCAUCUGGCUAGAGUCCGGAAGAGGAGAGUGGAAUUCCUGGUGUAGCGGUGAAAUGCGCAGAUAUCAGGAAGAACACCCGUGGCUAAGGCGGCUCUCUGGGCCUUGCCUGACGCUGAGGCGCGAAAGCUAGGGGAGCGAACAGG